ACUCAUCUUUCUUCACACUCGUAACUCCCUCACUCUGAAAGAACGAAAUGGCGGUGGCGGAGAAUCCAUCUUCUCCGACCAAAUCGAAGCUUCCGGCCACCGCAAGCAAUACGCUCUCGUCUCUUCUCCCACAUCUUUCUGAUUCGCUCUCAUCUCGCGUCUCUCUUCUAUCCCAAUCCAGACUCUAAUCUCUAUUUCAACCUUAAAGCCCUAAAUCUAAAACCGCUCUAAGAGUGCGGGUUCAAUCGAGCGUUAUGGGAUUAACAUUCAACAGAUUUCAGGAAACGUCAUAACAUCAAGAAAAGAAGAAAAAGGUAGAAGAUUGUAAAGAAUCAUGGUGAAGCCUACCUACGGAACGGAGGCUUGUUCCGGAAUUUGUUGAAUCGUGAAGCUGAAGCUGAACUGAAGAGAAACCCAGAGAUGAGGUUGAUGUUGAAUUGUUGUUGAAACUGAAUCAUUGUUGGCAAUCCGAAUAUUGAGUUGCGUUGUUGAAGUUGUAGGAGCAAUGAAGGUUGAUGAUGACGAUGAGAAGGAAGAUUAGAGAAUUCUGAGGAUCGAAUGAAGGUUUGACAUGAGAGAGGACCAUUAUCAGUGAUGAACUGCAUAAUGAACGAGAAAGAUUGAAAGGCUUAGGGAUGAUGAUUGGAGAAAGUGAUGAAGAAUGUGAAGAUGUGAAGUAGAAGAUGAAGGUGGAAUGAAAAUGGUGAUGAACUGAUGCAGAGAUUGUAUGUUGAUGAAUGUGGAGGUUCUGGAAGCAGAGUGGUGAAGAGGAAUCAAAUGGUGAAGAGUGUCUGUUAUAUAGAGGAGAGUUGAAUUCAGUUGGAGGAGAAGAAGAGAUGGAAAAAGGAUAACUUAUCUUGAAUAUGGGUGCAAGUUUACAAGUUGAGGAUGCAAGAUGGCUUGAAGUGAUGGGGAAGAAAAGGAGGCUGAAAUAUGAGCAGGAGAAUCGGAACAGGGAACAAGCCUUCAAGCUUCCAUUGGUCUUUGGCCAAAGCAAUAUUAUUAUUUUUAAUUCCUUUAAUGAAUUUUCCUUUUGACUCAACUUGUAAUGCCCCACUUGGAUCAGAUUGAAUAUUAAAAUGUAACUUGCAACUUGUUUUCCGGGUAAUUACGUGCUUUGAAUACUUUGGAUUCACAGUACCAUGUAAUCAUUAAUAAAUCUCUAUCUUCAGUUAA